rnacentral:rRNA from 1 species
AUCAGUGGCGAACGGGUGAGUAACACGUGAGUAACCUGCCCUCCACUCUGGGAUAAGCGCUGGAAACGGCGUCUAAUACUGGAUACGACCGACCCUCGCAUGGGGUGUUGGUGGAAAGAUUUAUCGGUGGUGGAUGGACUCGCGGCCUAUCAGCUUGUUGGUGGGGUAAUGGCCUACCAAGGCGACGACGGGUAGCCGGCCUGAGAGGGCGACCGGCCACACUGGGACUGAGACACGGCCCAGACUCCUACGGGAGGCAGCAGUGGGGAAUAUUGCACAAUGGGCGAAAGCCUGAUGCAGCGACGCCGCGUGAGGAAUGACGGCCUUCGGGUUGUAAACCUCUUUCAGCAGGGAAGAAGCUUUUGUGACGGUACCUGCAGAAGAAGCACCGGCUAACUACGUGCCAGCAGCCGCGGUAAUACGUAGGGUGCGAGCGUUGUCCGGAAUUAUUGGGCGUAAAGAGCUUGUAGGCGGUUUGUCGCGUCUGCUGUGAAAAUUCAGGGCUUAACCCUGGACGUGCAGUGGGUACGGGCAGACUAGAGUAUGGUAGGGGAGACUGGAAUUCCUGGUGUAGCGGUGGAAUGCGCAGAUAUCAUGAGGAACACCGAUGGCGAAGGCAGGUCUCUGGGCCAUUACUGACGCUGAGAAGCGAAAGCAUGGGGAGCGAACAGGAUUAGAUACCCUGGUAGUCCAUGCCGUAAACGUU